UAGGUUUUGUACAAGAUUGCACAUUUAGUUUAGAGUUCAGAUAUUUUUAAAUUUUAAAUUUGCUAAGAAAUUCUUUUGAAACUAAUUUACACACAAAAUUUCUGGGCCUUCACUUAGCAAAAAUAGUCGGUUACUUCCAGUUAGCAAAAAAAAAAUUUUGCCAUCGACUUAGCAAAAUGCUGAAUUAGCUUGUUUUUGAGUAAAACCGAAGUUUGGUAGCCGCCUGGUAGCCGUUUUGCCGCCGCCAACCGUUUCCAAACAAAUCAAACAAACGGAAGUGUAGUGCGGUUGCGGAGUUCGCUGCUGUCGUUGGCUUUUGUGGCCUAAUCGACUUCCAAAUGGUGAACAAUUCGACACAGGUUUUCGCUGCCGGCAAACAUAACGACAAUAUAAGGAUGAUCGCCGGAAAAGAUGUCAAGUGCUAGCAUUAAAUUUACAUGUUCGAAACCCACCAGGAACUGAAAUCAGCCCGACGGCCGCCACUUCGGAACAAACCGAAAAGAUCAAAUGGAAUUCCACAACCCAGUCAAAGUGAAAGUGAAAAUAUGUUAGUAGUGAUGACGUGAAAUGCAUGAAAGUUUCCUAAAAAUAAAUAGAAGUAUAAAAUAA